rnacentral:rRNA from 1 species
AGAGUUUGAUCCUGGCUCAGAACGAACGCUGGCGGCGUGCCUAACACAUGCAAGUCGAGCGAGAAAGCCCGCAAGGGUGAGUAAAGCGGCGCACGGGUGCGUAACACGUGGGUAAUCUGCCCUAGAGUCCGGAAUAACUCGCCGAAAGGCGUGCUAAUGCCGGAUGAGACCACGGGAGCUUCGGCUCCUGCGGGAAAAGGUGGCCUCUGUACACAAGCUAUCGCUCUAGGAUGAGCCCGCGGCCCAUCAGCUCGUUGGCGGGGUAAUGGCCCACCAAGGCAACGACGGGUAGCUGGUCUGAGAGGACGAUCAGCCACACUGGAACUGAGACACGGUCCAGACUCCUACGGGAGGCAGCAGUGGGGAAUCUUGCGCAAUGGGCGAAAGCCUGACGCAGCAACGCCGCGUGUGUGAUGAAGGUCUUCGGAUCGUAAAGCACUGUCGCGAGGGACGAAUAAGGGACGGGCGAACAGUCCGUCACGAUGACGGUACCUCGAGAGGAAGCACCGGCUAACUCUGUGCCAGCAGCCGCGGUAAUACAGAGGGUGCGAGCGUUGUUCGGAAUUAUUGGGCGUAAAGCGCGUGUAGGCGGCCUAGCAAGUCGGAUGUGAAAGCCCUCGGCUUAACCGAGGAAGUGCGUUCGAAACUACUGGGCUUGAGUACCGGAGAGGGUGGCGGAAUUCCCGGUGUAGAGGUGAAAUUCGUAGAUAUCGGGAGGAACACCAGUGGCGAAGGCGGUCACCUGGACGGAUACUGACGCUGAGACGCGAAAGCGUGGGUAGCAAACAGGAUUAGAUACCCUGGUAGUCCACGCUGUAAACGAUGAGCGCUAGGUGUUGCGGGUGUUGACCCCUGCAGUGCCGCAGCUAACGCAUUAAGCGCUCCGCCUGGGAAGUACGGCCGCAAGGCUAAAACUCAAAGGAAUUGACGG